rnacentral:rRNA from 1 species
UGGAUAAGACAUGCAAGUCGAACGCUGAUUUCAGGGUAGCAAUAUUCUGGAGUCGGAGUGGCGCAAGGGUGCGUAACACGUGGGUAAUUUGCCAUGAAACUCGGGAUAACUUGCUGAAAGGCAAGCUAAUACCGAAUGUGGUGCAGUGAAGGCAUCUUCAUUGGACCGAAGUUGGGGACCGAAAGGCCUGACGUUUCAUGAUAAGCCCGCGGCCUAUCAGCUAGUUGGCGAGGUAACGGUUCACCAAGGCUAAGACGGGUAGCUGGUCUGAGAGGACGACCAGCCACACUGGAACUGAGACACGGUCCAGACAUCUACGGGUGGCAGCAGUCGAGAAUUUUUCACAAUGGGCGCAAGCCUGAUGGAGGGACGCCGCGUGGGGGAUGAAUGGCUUCGGCCCGUAGACCCC